UGUGACGCUCCGGUGCAAAGGCGCGCCCCGGUCAGAGCUCAGGAUGGCCCAAAACGCAGAAUAAUAACGCUUCGUUUGCUAGGUGCAAAGGUGCGCCCCGGUCAGAGCUCAGGAUGGCCCAAAACACGAAUAAUAACGCUUCGGAACUCCUGCUUAAUCAUCUUUUAGAAAGACUUUGCUCUCGAUUGGAGCAUAUUCUGGGACGCAUGCCUCUUGAUCUGGACUUAGAGUUCACUUGCACACAAGAACUUGUUAUUAAAUGCUGUAUCCAGUCAAGUAACUGUUUGUCCAGCUAUUCUAGACUCACUGACACAGCUACACAGUCUUAUCAAUCUGGAAAAAGACAAAAGGGAGCAACACAUUGCAGGUGUGCAGUUUGAGCAAGGACCGGCUGGGCGACAAAGAAUGGUCAUAUCCCCAGAGUACCUUAGCAAACCUUUGGAACUUAAUCUGUCUGUUCCAUGUAUAGCUAAACUUUUGGGGAUGUCCAGGCGCACAGUAUACAGACGCAUGGCUGAGUCUGAUCUCUCAGUUAAGGCAUUAUACAGCACUAUGACUGAUGAAGAGUUAGAUCAGUGUGUAAGAGAGAUUAAGUCGAGGCAGCCUCACUCUGGAUAUCGGAUGGUGAAGGCCCUUCUGCGAGCCAGAGGACUGAGGGUGCAGUAUAACCGCGUCAGAGCCUCCAUGCACCGUGUUGACACCACUGGUGUCAUAAGCCGCAUGGUCCACGUAGGAUGUAUCGCUCGACGGACCUACUCAGUUCCAGGACCCCAGUCUUUGAUGCACAUAGAUACAAACCAUAAAUUAAUUCGGUAAAUUCUUAUCAAGCAAUGUUUUUGGCAAAAUGCAUACAUUCAAAGUGUGUUUGUAAAGUAUUUGGUAGUUAUCAGUAUGCUCCAUAACACAUUUCUUAUACUGCUGCUUUCAUGUUACUGUAUAUAUAUUAUUAUAUAUAUUAUAUAUUUUAACAUCCAAUCUUGUCUUACAAGGCUACAGGCCAAAUGUCUCACACAAGACCAAAUCCUGUAUGGCAACUGUAAAUACAGGCCAGGAUGUCACAUUUAAAAGAUGUGUAAUCCUUGUAAUGCCCUGGGAUGCGCAGGGUCUCAAAGCAAGUGGAGGCUGUGGGGUAUCUAUGUAUGUAGGAAAACAGAAAUAACAAGAUUGAAAACAGUUAACCUCAGGGCUGAAAUUUCCUGCUCCCUCUUCAGGAAAAAGCAAAGCCACUGUGUCUGGUCUUUGGGUCAACAGUCUCCAAAUUGGCGUUUCUUUAAGACCUCGUCUCAGCUGCCUAAUUUGCCUUGUGACACGUCCUAUUACCUGUUAAUAUUAAUAAGACAGAGAGGAUAGAACACAAGAUUCUUCAUCUAAAAGCUUGAAGAGUAACAUAGAAAAAGAAUAAUUCCAUUUUAAUACAUUUAUUAUGCUUCAAUCCUCUAGUGAAUGUGGAAAUAAUACUUUUCUCUUGCAGACUGAUACAAUUCCUUGUAUUUGCAGUAUUACAGACCACCCACUAUCUUUUAUGUUUCAGAGAAAAUAACUUGGUACAACUUGGUAAAGUAAAUCACCUAGUACUAGUUUGCUGUUAAACAAACGGUGAGUCAGAUAUUUCUUGCCAGCCACAUCAUAACAUCGGAACAGAGUAGUAAAGAGCGCAGUACCGAGCGCCAUGUUACCAUGGUAACCAUGCUAACAUAACGCUAGCUCAUAGCUAGCAAACUUUUAAGGAACACCACUUCAUUAAAAGUUCCCUGUGUAGACAUUGUUCAACAAAUUCUGUUAAGGUGUCCGGUAAAUAAAAUACUGACUUUUACGAACACAAAAGGUAAAUAAAGAGUACACUCACCGAA